rnacentral:rRNA from 1 species
UGGGGAAUAUUGGACAAUGGGGGGAACCCUGAUCCAGCCAUGCCGCGUGUGUGAAGAAGGCCUUAUGGUUGUAAAGCACUUUAAGCGAGGAGGAGGGUACUGGUAUUAAUACUACCAGGUACUGGACGUUACUCGCAGAAUAAGCACCGGCUAACUCUGUGCCAGCAGCCGCGGUAAUACAGAGGGUGCGAGCGUUAAUCGGAUUUACUGGGCGUAAAGCGUGCGUAGGCGGCUAAUUGAGUCGGAUGUGAAAUCCCCGCGCUUAACUUGAGAAUUGCAUUCGAUACUGGUUAGCUAGAGUGUGGGAGAGGAUGGUAGAAUUCCAGGUGGAGCGGUGAAAUGCGUAGAGAUCUGGAGGAAUACCGAUGGCGAAGGCAGCCAUCUGGCCUAACACUGACGCUGAGGUACGAAAGCAUGGGGAGCAAACAGG